GUAAACAGUAACCUACUUGCCACCUGGGGAGGUACAGCGUGGCUUGACUGGAUAGUAGCCUCUUUGGGUUUUGCUUCAAACCCAACCUAUUUGAAGGUGAAGUGUGCGGUGAGAGUCUGGAACCCUGCAGCGGGGAUGAGGGGGAUGCAGAGGGAGGGAAACCGACCACAGAAGGGAAAACCAGCCCAGGCUGGCCAGCACUGAAAGCCACCUCUCCCUGAGGCUCAGCAGCGAUCUGGACUACAUCCUGGGUUCCAGAAAAGGCAGAGGUUCUUACCGAAAGCAGGGGAGGAAGCUGCAGCCCAGGGAGGUCGUCACUUGCCGGGAAGGUGGCUCGGGCCAGGCUGCACUCAAAACCCGUGCUCUGUCCACACUGCUACGGGGCCAGAGCCAAGGAAGCUUCCACUUCUUCCCUCAGACAGCCCCGACAGCGGCUACCCCAAGGAGCCAGCAGCCUUGUGUCCUGGGAUCCCCAGCACUUGCAGAAUGACCCACCAGGAUCUGAGCAUCACAGCCAAACUCAUCAAUGGAGGUGUAGCGGGGCUCGUGGGGGUGACCUGCGUGUUCCCCAUGGACUUGGCCAAGACUCGCCUGCAGAACCAGCAUGGGAAAGCCAUGUACAAAGGAAUGAUCGACUGCCUGAUGAAGACAGCUCGGGCGGAGGGCUUCUUCGGCAUGUACCGAGGGGCUGCAGUGAACCUCACUCUGGUCACUCCAGAGAAGGCCAUCAAGCUGGCAGCCAACGACUUUUUCCGGCAGCUGCUCGUGGAAGAUGGGAUGCAGCGGAACCUGAAGAUGGAGAUGCUUGCCGGGUGUGGGGCUGGGAUGUGCCAGGUGGUGGUGAC
rnacentral:sRNA from 1 species